UUUUUUUUUUUUUCGGGAUCAAAAAUUUGUUUUUUGAACUGGAUUAGUACCCAGGUAAUCAAAAUUUAUUAAUUCGGGAGUAAAGUUUUGUUUAAACCGAAAAAAUAUUGACUGACUUUAGAUUUUUCUUUGGAAUAUGUGAUUUUGUUGGAGAGCCCUCUUUUUUGGUAAAUUUUGUUGGCACAUGUAUGAUUGUUUAGUUUUUAUUUUAUUUUGUAAUGCUUUUUUUGUUUUGGCAUUUAAAACAGAUAUAUAUUUGGUUUAUAAAUUUAUUUUUCAUGUGUUACUAUUAUAAAUUUUUUUUGGAUUAAUUUUUUAUUUUUUUUU
rnacentral:rRNA from 1 species